CCAGGUUAGUUCAUUUUAAGCUAUUCAUAGCCUGGGAUUUUUUUUUUUUUAAGGUGGAAAAGGAACAGCAGAAGGAAUGUUGGAGGAGGAGGGAGAAAAAUAUAAAACAACACAGCGUCUAGCCCAGCACCAGCACUGACGCCCGUUCUGUGCCCCUCAUUCCUCUGUGUGGUGCUGGGCUGGCAGAUGAAGAGCUUCAAGGUCAUCAAAGGAAGGACAAAUGAGGAGUUGCCUGCGUUUGUGUCAAUUGGUGCAUUGCACAGAGCAAGGAUGAAAUGUAAAACUCAAAGGGAGAGGGUGGAGCAAAUGAGGAAUUAUAUUCCCCAAGAAGCGGGCAGCUCGGGAGCUGUGAAAUGUCACUGGCAGGUAGCCCAUUACCUUUGAGAAAAUGUGAAGUAUGUGCGGUGCAGACAAAGGCGACGCACUGCAAACAGUGAAGAACUCUCUUGCGUAGGAGAGAGGGCUUUGUAUUUACCUUUCAGAGACGCUGGGUCCACCCUGGCUCACGCUGAAAGGAGGAAAUGUCUCUAACACCUUAACAUCUUGAGUGCAUACCGCAUACCACCGCCUGGAGAAUGGCCACGGGGGACUCUGCGGUCACUGAGAGGUUGCAUCAGAAACCAGGUCUGCAAGUUGAAAGCAGUGGGUCAACACUGAGAAGCACUUUGAGUCCGUGGUUCUGGUAAGGAAGGAGCUUCAGAGUGCAGUUAGUGCCUUGCUGUUUGCAGUUGCCACGAACUGUGCCCCUGCCAUGCCACCCUGCUUUGGAGGCAACUGAGUAUGGACUGAAGCCUCCAGAACUGUAAGAAAUAAAUCUUUCCUUCCUUAAUUUUGGGUGUCAGGUAUUUUGUCUCAGUGACAAGUAAAAAGUAACCAAUACAAUAGGAUAUGAGGACACAAUACUGGAGUAGAUAUUAAUUUAUUAACACCCCACUGACAGUAAUGAGCAGUGCCAACUAAAUUUGUAAAAGUAUAUACCCUUUGAUAAAUUCUAUUUCUAUCAUUUAUGCUGCAAAAUAUAUAUGGAAUAAAUGGAAUUGUACAGCAAUAUACAUUCUGAAUUGUGAUAGCAAAAGAUUACAAAUAGAAAACAGUGUCCACUAAUAGGUCUCAGAUUGAAUGUGAUAAUCCAUGUAUUCAAAUACUCUGAGAUACACGUUGGCCACGAAAACACAAUGUGACUUUCCUAUUGUGAUAAAUGGAUCACCUAGAUAAAUUUUAACCUUUGACAUUGCAGAAUAGCGUAUACACCAUGCUAACAGUUGUGUUCAGUUACAGACUAGUUCCAAAGGCCAAAAAUGAACAAUAUUUAAGUUAUAUAUUUGUCUUUUUUGACUCAAAUAAUCAAAAUCUGAUUAUAAAUAAAUUUCCUAUAUUAAAUGUUUUUUAUAUAAAUCAUCUUUCAGGAACAAUGAUAGAAUAGCAAGUGUAAGCCAGAAAGAUUUUUGUGUGGGUUGUUACCCUUUUCUCUCCACCU